CUUGUUUAUGUUCUUCAGCACACCUCACACAGAUUUGUGAAGAUCAAAGUGCUUGAGCCCUGGUUCUCCCAUCUCCUUCUUUAUGAGGUGGAAUAACAGGCACAAAGCGUACAUAUAUUCACUUUCUCUCUUUAAGUCUAUAUUAUUCUUGUUUAUGUUCUUCAGCACACCUCACACAGAUUUGUGAAGAUCAAAUUGCUUGAGCUCUGGUCUUCCAUCUCCUUCGGGCACAAAGCGUAGUAUUCUCCCAUCUGACAUUUGUUCAAUUGGACACCGAUCUUAUUAUCUCAUAUGCCAUGUUAUGUGAUUUGUUGUUUUGAAUAGUUGUAAAUGCAAUUAUAUUCUCAGUUAGUUGCAAGAAUACUACGAUAUGUUUUGGACCAUAUUAGCAUGUUGAUGAAUUUGGUUUGUAUUCUUUGAUCUAUGUGAAAUUGACU
rnacentral:lncRNA from 1 species